rnacentral:SRP_RNA from 1 species
GCCAGGUGUGGUGGUGCGCACCUGUAAUCCCAGCUACUUGGGAGGCUGAGGCAGGAGAAUCACUUGAACCCAGGAGGUGGAGGUUGCAGUGGGCCAAGAUCCCGCCAUUGCACUCCACCCUGGGCAACAGAGCAAGACUCUGUCUCAA